GCUGGGCGUGGUGGCACAUGCCUGUAGUCCCAGCUACUUGGAAGGCUGAGGCAGGAGGAUCACUUGAGCCCAGGAGUUCAAGGCUGUAGUGAGCUAUGAUGGCACCACUGCACUGCAGCCUGGGUGACAAAGUGAGACCCUGUCUCUA
rnacentral:SRP_RNA from 1 species